rnacentral:rRNA from 1 species
ACGGGUGAGUAAUGUCUGGGAAACUGCCCGAUGGAGGGGGAUAACUACUGGAAACGGUAGCUAAUACCGCAUAACGUCGCAAGACCAAAGAGGGGGACCUUCGGGCCUCUUGCCAUCGGAUGUGCCCAGAUGGGAUUAGCUAGUUGGUGAGGUAAUGGCUCACCAAGGCGACGAUCCCUAGCUGGUCUGAGAGGAUGACCAGCCACACUGGAACUGAGACACGGUCCAGACUCCUACGGGAGGCAGCAGUGGGGAAUAUUGCACAAUGGGCGCAAGCCUGAUGCAGCCAUGCCGCGUGUGUGAAGAAGGCCUUCGGGUUGUAAAGCACUUUCAGCGGGGAGGAAGGCAGUACGGUUAAUAACCGUGUUGAUUGACGUUACCCGCAGAAGAAGCACCGGCUAACUCCGUGCCAGCAGCCGCGGUAAUACGGAGGGUGCAAGCGUUAAUCGGAAUUACUGGGCGUAAAGCGCACGCAGGCGGUCUGUCAAGUCGGAUGUGAAAUCCCCGGGCUCAACCUGGGAACUGCAUUCGAAACUGGCAGGCUUGAGUCUUGUAGAGGGGGGUAGAAUCCCAGGUGUAGC